rnacentral:lncRNA from 1 species
CAGGACUAGAUCACAAGAUCACCUGUGAAAGGGAGUUCGGAUAGUAGGUAUCUGGAUUUCCAGCCUCUGUAGAGGUGGCAGGAGAGAAGAGGCUUCAGAAUAGCUGGAGGUUUACCCACGGAAUGGCAGACUUAUGUACAUUCUCCAAAAGUAAUUAUUUUCCAACUCAGCAUUACUUCCAAACCAGCUGGCUAGAUGAACCUUUCCUGGGAGUUGUGAAUCUGUGACGCUUCUAGCAUUGAAGAGAAAGGGUAUUGUGAUCCUCAUCCACUAACUAGACUCUCUCCCAUUUAAGCCUUCAUAUUGGCUUUAUGCCUAGGUCUGCAAGCUGGUUAUACAUUAAAAAAAGAUUCCAUACCCCUUGGCCUUCUUACAGCUUCUAAAGUAUCUGUCUUGUGACCAGGCUGCAAUUCUCAGCUACAGAGACUCUAUUACACAAUCAUUUGUGGUAAAAUGGCAGGAAGAGUUGUCCCCUAGGUAAUGCCAGAUGGUUGGAGAAGCAAACAGAUGGACUACUGCCCCAGAUGGAGUUAUGCCAGACAAAGCAGGGCAUCUCCAAGGAAGGCAGCCCAUGCCAGUGUUUGUAACAACACCUGAUAAGGGGCCUCCUUUUCAAGUUGGUCUCUUGACUGCUUGUUUUUAUCCAUCAUCAGCAAUUUCUUGGGACAAAACAAACACCAAUUGCAUCAUUUGUGGUGGUCUUAGAUUGGCUUAGGUAGUUAACCUCUUAAUCCCCAUUCUACAUCUGUAAAAUUGGAUUUUACAUUCUGAAGCUUACACAGAAUAACAGUGUGCUUACCACAGAGCACAUACUAUUUCCCAGCUUUUACUUCUACUCAAUGGAAAAUCAGAAACAUUUCUGAAAUACAAAUGUUAAUGUCCUUUCUGCAACUCUUACCUUCCUUAAACCUCUUGGUCAUUUGACCCUUAGUGACGAUUACUGCAAAACAGUUGCAGUUUCAGAGGUGGGAAGCUGGUUUUAUUCCUGUGGUGUUUCUCCUGGAUAGCAGUGGCUUCCUGGAGUGCUCCAUUAGGGAGGGUUCUGAGGCUGAAUCCCUGCAGAGAAAGAUGCGUGCCAGGGCACUGGAGAAAGGUGUGGCCAUAUAUGUGCUGGCAUCAGACUCACUGGUUCACGUGUUUAGGGUGUGCCUGUUGUGUGUUGGGCAUUGCGCUGGGCACUGAGCUUAUUCAAGAGACCUAUAUGUGAUACUGGGGAAGGUCUCUCUGAGGAAGGGAGACAUGAAGGAGUCAGAUUCUUUUAUUAUUCUCUUAGUGGAAAGGAAAAAGAGGUCAGAGAGAGAUUAGGCAAAAAGAGGAAAGAGUAAUAUGAGGAGGAAGUGGAGAGAGAGGAGGCAGGAAUCCGAAGUCAGCUGUCUUCUUUCCUGAUAUCCUCCUUUCCUCUUGUUUUCCCAAAAAGUUCACUUUCUCUGAUGAAUCCAGUCAGUGUGUAUUGAGCUUUUGCAUACGAAAUGCUCUAAUCAGUGCUUUGAUUAAACACAUGGAUAAGAUUUGGCCCCCGUUUUUAAGAAAAUGGCCUUGAAGAUGGACAAAGGACAGGUUUGGAAGCAUACCUACAAAGCAGGUUGUGGUUUUAGAAAAUACACAUUGUGUAACUGUUGCCAUGCCUUACUUAAUAUUUAUCAUAACUCUCCAGGGUGAUUAUAAUGAUUAUCCUAAUUUUCAGAAAAUCUCUCUGAGAGUUUUAAAGACCUGGAGGAUAACCUUGGGUCAGGCCCUUAGAGUUGGACAAUGGCAGAACAAUCCUAACUCCAGGACUGGUCACUGUCUGCUAUGCUAGAGCUGCCCUGUGUUUCUGUGACUGGGCAGGGGCUUAGGGCUGGGGUAAGGCAUGCUCUGGAUUGUAUAGGAUGACAGCAGGGCAUGCUCUGGAUUGUAUAGGAUGCCAGGGAGGUGUACCCAAUGGGCAUGGGGUGAAUGGAGAGAAAAAGCGGGAGCCCAGCCAGAAAUUUAGGUUGUGAUUUCCCUAUAAAGAGCCUUGAAUUCCAAGCUCAGGAGUUUGGUUUUAUGCUGCAGACAAUACUGUUCUGAAUAAGAUGCUCAAUAUGAAUGCAAUAUGAAUAUGUUGCACAAUACUGUUGAGUCUAAGUUGCUCCCUGCUGGCAGCUGCUAGGUAAUUCAGUUUAUUUUUGCCUAAACAUUUUAUCACAGAAUAGAAUAUCACCAUCAAUUACAGGCAUUUUGAUUUUUUUCAAGUGAGCAUCAGCAGAGUAAUCACAAAUUAAAUUGAGCCUGAAACAACCAAUGCCAUGUUUAGCAAGAAUGUCUUUUUUUAUUAAUUGAAGUCACUGACGUUUCAAGUAGUGUCCUCUUUUAGAAAGGUAGCAGUGGAUGACUGUUAACACUUAGCAUUUUAAUAGAUUCUUCUAACAUGCAUGAUCUCUUUUAUUUAUUUAUUUAUUUAUUUUUAUUUUCCCACUGUACAGCAAGGGGAUCAAGUUAUCCUUCAUGAUCUUUUAAGUAGCAGUGUUCUUAUUUUCCUUAUUUUUUUCUCAAUUUAGUUAAAUUUUUUUAAAGUGUAUUAGAUGAUUCAUAUGAAGAUGAUUUGGGGCAGGUACUCUCCAUUUGAUUUUAAAAAAUCUGUUUUCUCUCUCUCUUUUUUUUUCCUUAACAAACUUAGCAAAUGGCAGAUAAUACUGGAGGACUACUCCCUCCACAUAUGGUUGUAGUUGAGAAUUUCCAAAGCUCAUUUAAUUAAAAAUACAAGCCAUGGCAGCUCUCAAUCCCAUUCCCUCCUUUCUCCUUCCUUAAUUAGCUCCUCCCUCUCCUGUGUCUUCCACAUGUUCCUCCAACCUCAUGCCCACUUAUCUCUGUACUAAAUACAUGCCUUUCCCAAACCCUUCUGCUGCCCUACCUCUCUGCUUCCCUUCAUUACCCAACUUUUUAAAAGUGUGGUCUACAUCUGGGCUGUAACAUAUCCCUUCACCCAGAAUUCUAAAUUGCCUUCCCCUCAUCCUCUCAUGGCCUUUUCCCAAGCCCCAUCCCCCCACACCUUCUCCCUGUAGUAUUUGACACAAUUGCCUGGCUCUCCCCAACCCUUCUUUGGAAACUCACCUCCUAAUUUGUUCUUGCUCUUCCUUCUUCUCUUCCUUCCCUGGAUUCCUUGUCUUUUUUUUUUCCUGUUUGCUAAAAGGGGGCAGGCUGUAUGGACUCCAUUCUUGAUCUUCUCUCUUCAGGUUCUCUCAACUCUUCCCUUGAAUAGAGUUGAAUUUACACAAAUAACUCUCAGGUGGUAUAUCCUGCCUGACCUCUCCUCUUCAUUUAAUCUUGUGGACUAAACAUUCUCAUCUGCCUGUGCUUCCAGAAUGUCAAAUUCAACCAGUUUAGAAUCAAAAUCUGCACACUGCAGGUGGUUUCCCUGCCUACUGAAACACACUUGUACUGUCAGCUCAUCUCAAAAGCUAUCUCAUCUACAAAUUUUUCUUGAUCCCAAGAAUCUUAGAGCCUCUAGAGCACUUUAUUCAAAUUUUUCAUGGUUAGUAAUUAUCAUAGACUGAGUGGUCUAAUAGUUUUCCAUGUGAUAGUCUUAUUACUAAAUACUUGUAUAGCCUCUAUGCCUCAAUACUCUCAUCUGUAAGUGGGACAUUAAUUUAGAGUAGUCUUGAGAAUAAAUUGAUACAGUUAAACUGUUUAAAACAAUAUCUAGAACAAAACAAACAAUUCCAUAUAUUUAGUUACUGUUGUCAUCUGUGUACUAUGAACUUAAAAAUGAGGAUUGCAUUUUACUCAGUUUUUUAAUCUCUUAUAGCACAUAGCAUAGCAAUUUGCAUGUAAUAGGAAAGAUUCAAAUGUUCAGAAUUUUUUAAAAAUAUAGAGCUCAAAACCUCUUGCAGUUUAGGUUUAGUAGACAAGAAAAAUACUGGGGAAAAAGGCGACUUUCUUAGGAUCUCACACUGCUGAUACAACAAGAAUUUACAUUCAUAAAAUUAUUACUUGCCACCAUUAUUACAAGACCCUAAAGGACAUUUUGAAUCACCAGAUUAAGCUGCACCUAAAUGUUGCUUCUUAAUGAAUUUUAUUUUUAUUGCUUAAUAAUUAGUUUUAAAUGGUAACUCUUAUUUAACCAUGAUUUAAUGAGAACUUUGGAUUCUGCUAGAUCAAUGAGCCUUUGGAGUUAAAUAAUUGUCACCAUGGCUCCAACUAUUACUCUUUUUUCCCUCCUGUUCUAAUAUGAAUACAUUCUGGUUCAUGAUGAAUUUGUAUGUAAAAUUAGCUGUGAUAGAGAGUUCUUUUAAGUUUGUGCACUUUUCUUUUCUGACACUAUUCAUGACAGGGUUGUUAGGUAAUGCCUGGAUUGAAGCACUGCUGUCUUAAACCACAAAGGUCAGAGCAGCAAAACUAUGCUUGGAAAAAUACCCAAACCCCUAUGGGUAAGUCCUGGAACACCAUCGUGUUGUUCCAAUAAUGCCUAUUUAUAAUUAAUAUACUUUAGUGAGUUUUUACUAGCAAUCAAACAGUCUUGUUGAAGCAUAGCUCCUGAGUUAGAGAUCACAGGGAGGGGGCAGAGAAACACAGGGAAGACAGUGCUCUCAGUGGAAAAGGUCUUGGCCUCAAAAUCAGACAAACAUGAUCCACUUACUAGUUGUGUAAACUUGUGUCAGCUUUUUAAACAUCUUGAGAUUCAGCUUCCUCAUUUGGAUAAUAAAAAUAAAAAUAUUAAGCAUGUAGGAUUUUGAGAUUCUGAAAAUUAGAAGAAGUGUUUUGUAAAGAGCCCACCAGGCACAGUGUCUGGCUCAAUGCUGCUAUAUUAUUAAGAAGUUUCAUUUUCAUAGCUUCAAAAUAACUUUAUUGACUAAUAAAUUAUGCAGCAAAAUUAUUGAAUUAGUUAACUGGCUAAAUACAUUUCAUAUAAUAACCAAUUUAGAAAUUAAAGAACAAAAAAUAAAAAUACGGUAAAUUUUUGUAAAAAAGGAAAAAAAAGGAAAUGCACUUUAUCUG